AUUGAACGCUGGCGGCAUGCCUUACACAUGCAAGUAGAACGGUAACAGGUCUUCGGAUGCUGACGAGUGGCGAACGGGUGAGUAAUACAUCGGAACGUGCCUAGUAGUGGGGGAUAACUACUCGAAAGAGUGGCUAAUACCGCAUGAGAUCUACGGAUGAAAGCAGGGGAUCGCAAGACCUUGAGCUACUAGAGCGGCCGAUGGCAGAUUAGGUAGUUGGUGGGAUAAAAGCUUACCAAGCCGACGAUCUGUAGCUGGUCUGAGAGGACGAUCAGCCACACUGGGACUGAGAAACGGCCCAGACUCCUACGGGAGGCAGCAGUGGGGAAUUUUGGACAAUGGGCGCAAGCCUGAUCCAGCAAUGCCGCGUGCAGGAUGAAGGCCUUCGGGUUGUAAACUGCUUUUGUACGGAACGAAAAGCCCCGGGUUAAUACCCUGGGGUCAUGACGGUACCGUAAGAAUAAGCACCGGCUAACUACGUGCCAGCCGCCGCCGUAA
rnacentral:rRNA from 1 species